CGGAGGGGCUAGCGUUGUUCGGAAUUACUGGGCGUAAAGCGCACGUAGGCGGACCAUCAAGUUGGGGGUGAAAUCCCGGGGCUCAACCCCGGAACUGCCUCCAAAACUGCUGGUCUGGAGGUCGAGAGAGGCGAGUGGAAUUCCGAGUGUAGAGGUGAAAUUCGUAGAUAUUCGGAGGAACACCAGUGGCGAAGGCGGCUCGCUGGCUCGAUACUGACGCUGAGGUGCGAAAGCGUGGGGAGCAAACAGGAUU
rnacentral:rRNA from 1 species